GUCAAGAGGAGAUGACAGUCUGUUAAUUUAUGUAAAGUAUAACCAACCAGAUGUUCUAGAAAAUGCUUCAGUCAGAGAUAAAGAAAAUCCUGUUUUUAAUAAACAGGUGAUGACUGCAUGUUGUGACAAAAAUAUGUUUUCCAGGAAGUCUUCUAGAACUCAGCAUAGACUCGAGAGCCUAGACUAGAAUCCAGGAAGCCACUGGGUGGCUGAAGUAGCCUUCCAUAGGAUGCCAGGAGCCAGGCAUCGGCUGGCUGCUCUGCUGGAGACGUUGGGAAGUGAGCUGCCGCUUAAGUUCUUCCUGACUAGUUUACAACAAAAUUAAGCAACCAACAGAUGGGUCUCAAAUGUGCAAUUCUAGCUGUGGAAUUCAGCUGUGCCAGUUACCACCACUCCGAAGAUGCUUUAGCUCUAUAGCAGUCAUAAGGUACAUGGUUUACUCAGGCCCAGAGGAGAGAGCUGAUAUAAAGAAACUGUGCCACACAGUCAGAUGGGGUCCAAAGGAAACAAUAGCACUGAGUGAUGAGUAUUGAAGAAGAAAUCUAAAGAAAGAAUGUCUUAUCAGCUGACCACAAAGCUGCCGCCUUCUACCUGGCCACAUUGCUUACCGAUUGUACUGCGUCUCUCUUGGAUGGAAAUGAUACACCAAUCACUCAUAAGUAAAUAAUUUCCUUCUAAAUCACAGGCCUACACCUGAGGUGGCUGCCACAGGUGCAGCCUGUUUAGACCAGCAAUUAUAUUUACUCCAUGAUGACAGAGAACAGGAAAGAUGUAUCAUGUACUGCAUUUGCUUCUGCUCUUUAUAAAGAAAUAGACCUCUCUAUAUUAGCAUUACAUAUGAUUGUCUCAUCCACUUAUCGGCAAUUUAAUAUACCACAGACAACAUGGGUUAAAAGCAAAGUAAGUUUCAAACACUAACCUUAGUUUACUCAUAAAUACUUCACUUCUACAAACUUUGUUUGUUCAAGCUAUGGUUCUAUACAGAUUGGCAAGUCAUUCUUCAUUUUAACUUUCUGUGGUUAUAGGCCCUUCUAGACCAGAGAUCCCUGAGUUUACUGCUGCCUUUUCUAGAUGUUUUCCUGAGUACAAAUGUGAGCUUAUUGUUGACACCAGUCUCUUUCUCUUUGAGAAUUGGUUUUUCCCUGAUGGCUCUGGUCUAAGAGCCUGGUCUUAGAAAUUUCUUAGCCCUCUGGUCUAAGAAAUCCACUCUGG
rnacentral:lncRNA from 1 species